CGCAAGUCUGAUGGAGCGACGCCGCGUGGGUGAUGAAGGUUUUCGGAUCGUAAAGCCCUUUUCUGUGUGACGAGACAAGGACGGUAGCACAGGAAUAAGUGUCGGCUAACUACGUGCCAGCAGCCGCGGUAAAACGUAGGACACAAGCGUUAUCCGGAGUUACUGGGCGUAAAGGGCGUGCAGGCGGUUUCUUAAGUCAGGCGUGAAACCAUUCGGCUAAACCGGGUGUAGUCGUCUGAGACUGGGAGACUAGAGUGUGGUAGAGGCGUGUAGAAUUCCGGGUGUAGUGGUGAAAUGCGUAGAUAUCCGGAGGAAUACCAGUGGCGAAGGCGGCACGCUGGGCCAUAACUGACGCUAAGACGCGAAAGCAUGGGUAGCGAACGGGAUUAGAAACCCCGGUAGUCCAUGCCGUAAACGAUGUAUACUGGGUGUUCAGACGGGGAAGCUCGUCGGGGUGCCUAAGCUAACGCGCUAAGUAUACCGCCUGGGGAGUACGGUCGCAAGGCUAAAACUCAAAGGAAUUGACGGGGGCCCGCACAAGCAGCGGAGCGUGUGGUUUAAUUCGAGGCUACACGAAGAACCUUACCUGGGUUUGACAUCAUGGUAGUAGUGAAGCGAAAGCGGAACGACCUUCGGGAGCCAUGACAGGUGCUGCAUGGCUGUCGUCAGCUCGUGUCGUGAGAUGUUCGGUUAAGUCCGAAAACGAGCGCAACCCCCGGGUCUAGUUACAAGUGUCUAGACCGACUGCCCGUGACAAACGGGAGGAAGGUGGGGAUGACGUCAAGUCAGCAUGGCCUUUAUAUCCAGGGCUACACACACGCUACAAUGGCCGGUACAGUAGGUAGCGAAGCGGCGACGCGGAGCCAAUCCACCAAAGCCGGUCGUAGUUCGGAUUGCAGGCUGCAACUCGCCUGCAUGAAGCUGGAGUUGCUAGUAACCGCAGGUCAGCUAUACUGCGGUGAAUACGUUCCCGGGCCUUGUACACACCGCCCGUCACGUCAUGGGAGCUGGUCACGCCUGAAGUCGGGAAGCCAACCGCAAGGAGGCUACCGCCGAGGGCAGGGCCGGUGACUGGGACGAAGUCGUAACAAGGUAACCGUA
rnacentral:rRNA from 1 species